GAGAGAGAGAGAGAGGUUGGGGAAGAAGACGACCGACAUCCAUUCGUGGAACAGACGAACAGGUAAGAUAAGGUUGGUUCUUUUUCCUUUGCCCCUUCCUUUUUCUAAUAAUUAUAGAACAUAUGAAUAUAUGAGUUUAUGACGCAUUAUAGUCCCUGGAACUUCUAUUUUCUCACAUUCUAGUUCCUGAAACUUUUAUUUAUUUUUAUUUUUUAUAUAUAUUGGCAUAUCCCCGUAUCCUUGUUUUUGGAAAAAUGGCGUAUCGGAGUAUCCCCGUAUCGCGUACCGGUAUCCGUAUCCGCGUAUCCGGGCAACAUAGUCCACAUGCAGUUCAUUUUAUUCAAUUUUUUCUGGACUUGCUUGCACAGUGGGGACUGAACAUGUGAUUUCGUGAAGAAGCUUUGUAUUUGAGGCUGCAUUUGCUUACUCUAGUCAGUUCAAAAGGGUACAUUGCUAACUAUUUGGGCCAUCCGUGGAUUUUUGGAGUAAAAGUCGGUUUCAGUCUUUCACAUGAACAAGUUUGGUCCUAAUUGAGAAGCCUCUGCACCCCUGUUGCAUUGUUCUUACAUCAGUAUGAAGACACAUGAAGUUGAGAAUGAAGACUGAAGCCUUCAAAAUUUGUAGAAGUUCGCUCAAGCUUAGACCUACCCUAACAACAUUAACAAUGAUGAGCACCAUCAAGAUACAAAGGUGCUGCUGGACCAUGGGUUCACUCUGUGUUGACAUCAACCUUGGUGCAUGAUACUCAAGCAGGAUUUGAUGCAGGCGUCUUAUGCAUGCAAAACAAAAUAGCUCGAAUCCUCUUUCUUACAUUCAUGUGAAACUCUCUUAGAUCCGGGACCACCUCAAAGGGAGCUAUUAUGACAUAUUCUUGUUUAUUUAAGACAAGCGGUGAGAUCUCAUUCCAUUGCCAAUACUGGGACCAAUACAUGUCAGCAAUUUCGCCCUCUUGCCAUAUGCAUCUCCUCUCUUCUCUUGGGUAACUCUCAGGAUACCAGUCGAUUCUUUUUUCCCUUCCGCUGUUUUUUUGGGAGAUCUACAAGUAUUUGAAGCUACAAUCAUAGUAUAUGGCACAGGUGGUUGUUACUAUGAAAAAGAGGAAUGACAUGAAUGUGCAUAAGGCAAUUAGAACUGGCAGUGCUCAGAAUGGAUAAAUUGGAUCGUUAGGUGAAGAAUAUUUAAAUAAUUUACUCAAGUUAAAUGUUGGUAUAAAAAUGAAGCUUAACAGCUACAGAAGAUCCAAGAUCUACAAUGCUAUUCAAGCAGAUGAUACAUUUUGAGAACCAAGACCUGUUGAAAGAGACGUGACAAUUAUUUGCACAAGGCGCAGCGAGUAUAGCAUAUAAUAAAACUCAAGCAGGAAAAUGCAACCUUAUUCGGUAAGAGAAGAUGCUUGAAAGAAGGCAACUUAUAAAGGGGAAGCUCUGAUACAUGCAGUAUCGUUUCUGAGCCUGCAAAGGUAAACGAAUGCCAGAGAAGGGCGAGGAGCAGAGGAUUCGCGUGCACUGGAUACUGCAUCUCUGCAUGGCAAGAUUUUGCGCUGUCGACCACCGCUGCCCUGUCCAUCUCCUGCGGCCUCAAGGGAUGGGCUGCGUCUGGAUUUCAAUUCAGAGCCGUACCAUGUACAGUCUAUUGAUAUCUUGUAGAUAGCAAUCGUUGGAAGCUCUGGAUCUGCGACGCAUUUGUUCUACCUUUUAUGUGGCUGUCCAUAUGGUGGAGAUGUUGGACGCGGAUAUGGGCAGGGUUCAGCUGCCGUUGCUUUCAGUUUCAGAGCUGGUACCGAGCUACCACGGGGAGAUGCUGAUGGUCACGAGGCCGUAGCCGGGUCAAAGCGUAGUCAAAUUAAUUUGUUUGGUAACAUGCAGGCGGACACGGGACACCGCCAGUACUCAGUAGGCCGCCUGCGCUGCUGGUUGUCCAGAUCAGGACAUAUCGCCAGCAAUGGAAGCACUCGGCGGGUAAAAAGCCUUACCUGUUACCACAAGUUACUGAAUUUAUAUUCAUCACUAGCUGAGCACAUUGUGUGUAUCGUAUCUGCAUUCUGCACCCAUUCGUCGGAUUGUGCAUGUCGCAAAAUGGUUCAAAGUGCUGUAUCUUUUAUACUAUCAUAUAAGAGGAAGACAAGUCAAAUUAUGUGGUCUUCAUAAAGCAUAAAUAGCUCGUCCUGUGAUUUCGGUUU